rnacentral:rRNA from 1 species
CUACGGGCUGCACCAGUUAGGUAUAAUCUACAAUGCGCGCAAGCGUGAUAGUUUGAGCCAGAGUGUGUUUCUAUUGAAAUACUUUUGUGGAAUGUAAAAAGUUCCACGAAUAAGGACUGGGUAAGACAGGUGCCAGCCGCCGCGGUAAUACCUGCGGUCCAAGUCGCAACCAUUUUUAUUGGGUCUAAAACAUCCGUAGCUUGUUUGAUAAGUUUCUUGUGAAAUAUUAUGUCUUAAAUGUAAUGCGGGCAAGAAGUACUGUCAAACUAGAGACAGGGAGACGUAAAGAGUAUGUUCAAAGUAGUGGUAAAAUACUUUAAUCUUGGACAGACUAACAAUAGCGAAGGCACUUUACGAGAACUGUUCUGACAGUAAGGGAUGAAGGCUAGGGGCGCAAAACGGAUUAGAUACCCGCGUAGUC